UACGAAGGGGGCUAGCGUUGUUCGGAAUUACUGGGCGUAAAGCGCGCGCAGGCGGUUCUUUAAGUCAGGGGUGAAAGCCCAGAGCUCAACUCUGGAAUUGCCUUUGAAACUAGAGGACUUGAGUACGGGAGAGGUGAGUGGAAUUCCGAGUGUAGAGGUGAAAUUCGUAGAUAUUCGGAAGAACACCAGUGGCGAAGGCGGCUCACUGGCCCGUUACUGACGCUGAGGAGCGAAAGCGUGGGGAGCGAACAGG
rnacentral:rRNA from 1 species